rnacentral:rRNA from 1 species
GACGAACGCUGGCGGCGUGCUUCAUACAUGCAAGUCGAACGAGAAUCUCUAGCUUGCUAGAGAGGAAAGUGGCGGACGGGUGAGUAAAUAUGUAGAGAAUCUGCCCUUGAGAGGGGACAACAGCUGGAAACGGUUGCUAAUACCCCAUAUGAGCGUACCUGAGAUGGUAUUCUUGAAAACUCUGGUGCUCAAGGAUGAGUCUGCAUCUGAUUAGCUAGUUGCGGGGUAAUGGCCCACCAAGGCGACGAUCAGUAGCUGGUUUGAGAGGAUGAUCAGCCACAAUGGGACUGAGACACGGCCCAUACUCCUACGGGAGGCAGCAGUAGGGAAUUUUGCGCAAAUGGCGAAAAGCCUGACGCAGCAACGCCGCGUGAACGAGAACG